UACGUAGGGUGCGAGCGUUGUCCGGAUUUAUUGGGCGUAAAGAGCUCGUAGGCGGUUUGUCGCGUCGGCCGUGAAAUCUCCACGCGUAACGUGGAGCGUGCGGUCGAUACGGGCAGACUUGAGUUCGGUAGGGGAGACUGGAAUUCCUGGUGUAGCGGUGAAAUGCGCAGAUAUCAGGAGGAACACCGGUGGCGAAGGCGGGUCUCUGGGCCGAUACUGACGCUGAGGAGCGAAAGUGUGGGGAGCGAACAGG
rnacentral:rRNA from 1 species